rnacentral:rRNA from 1 species
UGCGCAGGCGGCGGUUCGCGUGGAUAGAUGAAAUCUCCUGGCUUACCUGGGAGGAUGGUAUCCAGACGGGAUCGCUUGAGGGUCGGAGAGGGGCGUGGAAUUCCGGGUGGAGCGGUGAAAUGCGUAGAGAUCCGGAGGAACACCGACGGCGUAGGCAGCGCCCUGGACGACACCUGACGCUGAGGCACGAAAAGGCUGGGGAAGCAAAACCA